AGAGGUAAGGGGGGAGUAUUACCUUCCAAAGAGGUAAGGGGGGAGUAUUACCUUCCAAAGAGGUAAGAGGGGAGUCUUAUGUAAAAAAGAGGUAAGGGGGGAGUAUUAC